CCUACGGGAGACAGCAGUAGGGAAUCUUUCACAAUGGGCGAAAGCCUGAUGGAGCAACGCCGCGUGCAGGAUGAAGGCCUUCGGGUUGUAAACUGCUUUUAUAAGCGAGAAAUAUGAUGGUAACUUAUGAAUAAGGAUCGGCUAACUACGUGCCAGCAGCCGCGGUCAUACGUAGGAUCCGAGCAUUAUCCGGAGUGACUGGGUGUAAAGAGUUGCGUAGGUGGCAUAAUAAGUAGCUAGUGUAAUCUGGUGGCUCAACCAUUCAGACUAUUAGCUAAACUGUUAAGCUCGAGACCGUUAGGGGUAACUGGAAUGUCUAGUGUAGGAGUGAAAUCCGUAGAUAUUAGAAGGAACACCAAUAGCGUAGGCAGGUUGCUGGGACGGUUCUGACACUAAGGCACGAAAGCGUAGGGAGCAAACAGGAUUAGAUACCCUUGUAGUC
rnacentral:rRNA from 1 species